AAUGGUGGCUUUAGCACGGGUGUUCACCUCUUCCCAUUCCGAACAGAGCAGUUAAGCCCCGUAGCGCCCAUGGUACUGCCUUCACCGGUGGGAGAGUAGGUCGCCGCCAACC
rnacentral:rRNA from 1 species